UACGGAGGGUGCGAGCGUUAAUCGGAAUAACUGGGCGUAAAGCGCGCGUAGGUGGUUGAGUCAGUCAGAUGUGAAAGCCCCGGGCUUAACCUGGGAACUGCACCUGAUACUGCUUGACUAGAGUACGGUAGAGGGCAGUGGAAUUUCCUGUGUAGCGGUGAAAUGCGUAGAUAUAGGAAGGAACACCAGUGGCGAAGGCGACUACCUGGACUGAUACUGACACUGAGGUGCGAAAGCUAGGGGAGAGAACGGG
rnacentral:misc_RNA from 1 species